rnacentral:misc_RNA from 1 species
GUUCACAUCCUGCUCGACAACCGUCACCAACUUCGGUCCCAAUCCCUUCACCAUCCUCAAGAGCUGAUCCCUCUGGUUCACAGUCGAUACACUCUCAUCCGGCAUAUGAUGAAGCUGAAACGCAAAAUUAACUACAAGCGCCUCACCAGGUUGACAAUCCAACAUUGAUGGUGAAACAUCUCCAAUCUUAGCAGCGAUCGCUCGGAACUCAAAUGGGACACGAGCAUCCUCCGCAAACUUUUCUAGACGCUUCCCAAUGACUUCCAAUCCUCCAACGGACCGUUGCACUGAUUCGGGAUCAUCGACUCCAGUUAUCCUCAACCUACGUGGCUUGACUGACCGGGUCGAAAUUGCUUGUAUGAGUGUCAUAUACUGACUUCCUUGGUUGAUGUCAAAGUCGAUAAUGUGAACCCUCUCUUCACCUUUCAACGCCUCAGCAAUUGCUCCAUUUGCUGCCAUAAAACCGAAUUUAAAACACGGACAGAUUUCGAAUAGAACCU